rnacentral:ncRNA from 1 species
GACCCGAAAGAUCGUGAACAUGCCUGAGCGGGGCGAAGGCAGAGGAAACUGUGGUGGAGGCUCGUAGCGAUAGUGACGUGCAAAUCGUUCGUCUGACUUGGG